rnacentral:rRNA from 1 species
AACGAACGCUGGCGGCAUGCCUAACACAUGCAAGUCGAACGAGACCUUCGGGUCUAGUGGCGCACGGGUGCGUAACGCGUGGGAACCUGCCCUUAGGUUCGGAAUAACUCUCCGAAAGGGGUGCUAAUACCGGAUAAUGUCUUCGGACCAAAGAUUUAUCGCCCUUGGAUGGGCCCGCGUUGGAUUAGCUAGUUGGUAGGGUAAAAGCCUACCAAGGCGACGAUCCAUAGCUGGUCUGAGAGGAUGAUCAGCCACACUGGGACUGAGACACGGCCCAGACUCCUACGGGAGGCAGCAGUGGGGAAUAUUGGACAAUGGGCGAAAGCCUGAUCCAGCAAUGCCGCGUGAGUGAUGAAGGCCUUAGGGUUGUAAAGCUCUUUUACCCGGGAUGAUAAUGACAGUACCGGGAGAAUAAGCUCCGGCUAACUCCGUG